CUAUCGGAGUAAAAGGUCCUAUAAAGAAGAUUUUGUUUCUUCAACAGAAAUGAGAACCGUAGCUCCAUGGCCGGAGAAUAAAGGAAAGGCGUUUUCAGCCAUGCCAGUGUGCACUGUAAAUAAGAAUGUGGCUGGAUGGCUGUUUCCAUGAGGCUGGGAAAGAUGACUACAAGUAGUUCCGGUUUGCCAGCAGUUACAGCCACUCAUUCCGGGAACAGUGCUUCUUCGUGUGUGGAAGGGGAGGUCAGUAGCACCCCCUGAAGAGCAUUUUGGGAAUUUGUGGGGAUGGUUUUUGUCGUCACAAUGAUGGUGGAAAGCUACUGCUUAAAUUUUAUGCUAGACUUGCUGUGAAGCAUGGAAUAGUCCUACACAAAGAAUUAUCCUGUGUCUCACACAAAUUUAUAAUGUCCAACUGGACAUCUAUGUGGGUGGAAAGCCUAUUUGUAAUUAAUUGAGCCUAAACUUAACGCUAUUUUAUAUAUAAAGUAUUUAUUGCACAGUUUUAAUAUACAUUGAGUUGUCCAUACAUACUACCUUGUGUAAAACAAAGGAAAGUUUUCUUUUGUUUGAAAUUUUGCCAAGGGCUGUUCAUGAUUUCACUGUUUCAGAAACCACAUCGCCGAUGGCAAUGCCACUUCCGGUGUUGGAGGUAUCACACAGCACACCUGCAUAUGGCUUCAUCUGUGGCUGUCACACUCACGGGUCUCACUCUGUCACCCAGGCUGGAGUGGAGAGGCACUAUCAUAACUCACAGAAGCCUCGAACUCCUGAGCUCAAGCAGUACUCUGGCCUCAGCUUCCCAAGUAGCUGGGACUACCGGCGCAUGCCACCAUACUCAGGUAAUUAAGGGCAUUAACACUUAAUUCUCUCCCAAUAACUU
rnacentral:lncRNA from 1 species